AGCAAUUCUCCCACUUCAGCCUCCAAAGUAGCUGGGACCACAGGAGGGCACUGUAUUGCCAGGUCCCUGGAUGUGGUGUGAAGACUGUUCUCUACAAAACUCUAGAAGGCACGAUUUUCAUCAGAUUCACAGCCAGCGUGGCCAUACGCAAUAGAGACGGUGUCUCCCGUCAGGGCAAAGACUUGGUGCUUUUGGUUGCAUAUACCUUAUAAAAGAUUUGGGUUUCCAAAGAUCAGAAUUCUUUGACUGUGAAACAAACUCACUGUGUGUCCAGCAUCCACCUGAGUUUUCUCUGCACCACUCCAAUGUGACUGAGGAGUCAAAGGAAACUGGUGUGAACAUGAAGCUCAUGCUACCUGCUGUGCCAUGAGUAGCAAAGUUCUUUGUGUCUGAUCCUGGAGUCCUGUGUCUUCUGCAGAAUCUGUGAAAUUGUAGCCAGCUAACCUGUUAGCUUGUAAGAUGAUAAAAUCUCAGAUCCUUCACAAUUCUCUAUGAUAUGGUGAUUUACUUCUUGACUACAGAGAUGAAAAAUAUAAGAAAUUGUGACUAACACUGAUAUUUUCUUCCAGGGUUCUUUAGAGGUAUCCUCCAACAGCAAUGGCAGUAAAUAUUCAAAUGAGAACAUAUUUGUGGAGAAGACAAAUAUUUUUGUACAUGUUUAAUUUGGGGUGCUGUUGAUGUAUCUUUGAAAAUAAUGUCAAUGAACUAUAUAUGUUCUGAAAAAUAUGAGGGGGAUCACAUCUAGAAGUAUGCAUUUGGUAAAAAAAUAUGCAUAGAAAUAAAAGAUAAAAUCACAAAAAUGUCUAAGGUUAUUAUUAAGUAGAACUUAGAGAGAAAUGAUGGCUAAGGACAGAAUUUUUAAAAAGAGGGCAUCAAUUGAAGCAUGAGCAGAUGUGGACAAUUUAAAGCGGAAAAUAUUAGGGAAACAGAGGCAGACCCCAGAGAGUACAGUGAUCUAGAGGUCAAGAGAGAAGAGCAUUUAACACGGAAAGAUAAGAUAUUCAGGUCAAAUAAGGUAUAAAGACAGAGGAGGACUUGGAUAGAAGAAAAAAUUGGCAAUGAUGUUCUCUCUUUUAUUGGGUGCUAUCCAUUCAGGGAUUAUGAGUGUUGCAGGCAGAUUGUCUUCAAGGUGUAUCUUGGUUGAAAUAAACAGCACCAAGGAUUAAAGCAACAGUAUAGAACUUCCCAGUACAGAUUAAGAGUAUAGUUUUAGUGAAUCCAGAAGGGUAAUAGUCUGAAUUCCAGACAGAUUGCAGGCACCUGAAAAAAAAAUAUCUGCAGGUUAGAGCUCCAAACAUAUUGUAUUCUUAGAUGAUACUACUAUUUCCACGAAGCCUUGCAGAAAAUAAGAUUCAAGUAAAAUAUUUGAUUAUUUCUACA
rnacentral:lncRNA from 1 species